rnacentral:lncRNA from 1 species
UGAGUAUCUGCUUGGGUACCGGGCAGCCAAUGUGAUCAAGAUGGAUAUUCUGCUGAACAGGAAACUUGUGGAGGAACUCAACCGUUGUUCACAAAGAGAUUGGGCGUACAGUGCAGGCAAUGCUAUGUGCGAGCUCCUGCAUGACACCAGAACCGGACUAAUGUUUGAGAUCACAGUACAAACAGCCAUCGGCAGCAAAGGGAGACCACAGAGAUGAUAACCAGAAAGAUGACGCGCCUGAAGAACCAGGCAGAGUGUAAAAAGAAGAUGCGGUAUGUUGGCACGUGCAAGUCCCCAAAAGAUGUCUUCCUCAGUGUUCUGAAGAGGAAAGACAAGUAGAAUAUCAGUAUCCUUAUUUAUUGAAGCAAGUUUUGGUUCAACAAAUAGACUUUAAAAACAGCAAAAUAACUUUUAAAUGUCCCAUACAUUUAAAAGUUAUGUAUAAUGUAGAUCUCAUUGCCAAGAAAAAUAUAUGACGACAUGCACAGAUUACUCGCUCAAACAGACUUUAAGUGCAAGGUGUAAUACAUCAAUGAACGCUUGUAAAUAAUAAAAC